UGGGGAAUAUUGCACAAUGGAGGGAACUCUGAUGCAGCGACGCCGCGUGAGUGAUGAAGGAAUUCGUUUCGUAACACUCUGUUCUAUGGGAAGAAAAGGACUGUACCAUAGGAGAAAGCUCCGGCCAAAUACGUUCCAGCAGCCGCGGUAAUACGUAUGGAGCGAGCGUUGUCCGGAAUUAUUGGGCGUAAAUGGUGCGCAGGCGGCUUUACAAGUUGGAUGUGAAAUAUUGUGGCACAACCACAAACGUGCAUCCAAAACCGCAAAGCUUGAGUUAAGGUGAGGUAAGUGGAAUUCCUGGUGUGACGGUGGAAUGCGUAGAGAUGAGGAGGAAUACCGGUGACGAGGGCGACUUACUGGACUUACACUGACGCUCAGGCACGAAAGCGUAGGGAGCAAAUAGC
rnacentral:rRNA from 1 species